CGGAGAAGGGAGUUCCCGACUCUCUUAGGAUUGAGACAGUCUCCUGUUAAUCUGAAAAAAGGCUACUCUAUCUGCCAUCUCAUCGGCUAUUGCCUGGAUACUUGGUGAGUGGGGAAAAUCUGAAAAAACAUGGCGGAUUUUAGAAGAUUUGCUAUGCAAGAAUCGACUAAUGUCAAAACACAAUGGAAGGCUGACUUCCGUAAUUAUCUGCUGGUUCGUUACGCCUGUACGGGACUUUUACAAAUGAUUGUUGGUUCUUUUAUUACUGAAUGCAUAUAAGAAUCGACUGCAAGCUGCUCUGAAGGAAGAACCUGGCCAUAUAAAAGUUAAUUUAAGAAUCUGUUGUUCCUGUAAACCGAAGCUUGUUUGCUUUUCCCGAACAGAUGAGAAAGUUUCUUCAGAAAAUACAGUCCGGAAGAGCCCAAGGAAUCGAAUUUAACAUGGUGAUAUUUUUUGACUUAAAUUAUAAUUAGAAGUAUCUUUUGAAUAUUUUCUGGAUUAUUUAAGAAAUCUUCAUACUAUGUUAUCCAAAAUAGGAUGUUUUUAAAGAUAUUAAAUUUGCGUAA